UCGUAGGCGGUUUGUUAAGUCUGGAGUUAAAGACUGGGGCUCAACCCCAGCCCGCUCUGGAUACUGGCUGACUAGAGUUACAUAGAGGUAAGUGGAAUUCUUAGUGGAGCGGUGGAAUGCGUAGAUAUUAGGAAGAACACCAAUGGCGAAGGCAGCUUACUGGAUGUACACUGACGCUCAGGGACGAAAGCGUGGGGAGUAAACAGGAUUAGAUACCCUGGUAGUCCACGCCGUAAACGAUGAUCAUUAGCCGCUAGAAUAUUUAGUGGCGCAGCUAACGCAUUAAAUGAUCCGCCUGAGUAGUAUGCUCGCAAGAGUGAAACUUAAAGGAAUUGACGGGGACCCGCACAAGCGGUGGAGCAUGUGGUUUAAUUUGAAGAUACGCGUAGAACCUUACCCACUCUUGACAUCUUCCGCAAUACUAUGGAGACAUAGUGGAGGUUAACGGAAUGACAGAUGGUGCAUGGUUGUCGUCAGCUCGUGCCGUGAGGUGUUAGGUUAAGUCCUGCAACGAGCGCAACCCCUGUCUUUAGUUACUAACGGAUAAUGCCGAGGACUCUAGAGAGACUGACUGGGUAACCAGUAGGAAGGUGGGGACGACGUCAAAUCAUCAUGCCUCUUACGAGUGGGGCAACACACGUGCUACAAUGGACGGUACAAAGAGGAGCAAUAUGGUGACAUGGAGCAAACCUCAAAAAACCGUUCUCAGUUCGGAUUGAAGUCUGAAACUCGACUUCAUGAAGUUGGAAUCGCUAGUAAUCGUAGAUCAGCUGCGCUACGGUGAAUACGUUCUCGGGUCUUGUACACACCGCCCGUC
rnacentral:rRNA from 1 species